CCCGAGACCCUUUCAACGGAUCUGCAGGUUAUUUUCUUAACACUACUGUUAUGAAAUAUUUUCAUAGUAAUACAAAAGACAUUAUCUACCUCUAUUGCUGCGUUAACAUUGGUACUGAUGAUGCAAAAAUCAAGAGUGAGCAAAACUGCUGGCUCCUGAGUACAAAUCAUGUCAGUGGCACCACUGUAUUUUUCACUGUCAUGCACAAGUAUGAGUAAGGUCAGUUUCACCUAUGAAGAGUUUUGAUGAAUGAUUACUGACUUUAUUAAAUUCAUUGGUCCUGUCUUGGACUUUGAAAGAACUCUAUUUUACAGAUUUUUUUUAUUAUACCAUUAUUACCUUUCAUCUUUUUUAUUAUACUGUUAUUACCUUUUUUAUUAUUCUGUGAAUAAAUGGGAAAUAUACACACAGCACUUUUCCGAUAUAUUGAAGUAUAGGGUUAUAGCAAGGAAAGUUACUUUUUUUUUUUUUUUUUUUUUUUGUCUUUUUGCCUUUUCUUGGGCCACUCCCAUGGCAAAUGGAGGUUCCCAGGCUAGGGAUUGAACUUAAGCCAUGGCAGUAACAGCGCCAGAUCCUUCACCUGCUGCACCACAAGGGAAAUCCAUGGACCAAUGGAUAUUUUAGUGAAACAAAUUAAAGUUCACUGAUUAGUUUCAGGUUCCACAUUGUAAGUAACCCUUAAGAUACUACCAUUUGAGAGUCUGGGUGCAGAAUCACAUAACCAUAAUUAUUAGAAAAGCUAUCAAAACUUUCCUCUCUUCUCCAACCUCGUGCCUGCACAAGGCUAAGUAUCUUUAGAUACUUCAACCAAAGCAACCUAUUCCAAGAGAUUAAAUGCAAAAGCAGAUGAGAAUCUUAGCUAUUAAGCCAGACAGUAAAGAAAGCUUCAAACAUUUAAAAUAAUACCAUCCUUCUUGCUAGCGCUUUUGUUUCAGAAAAAUAGUUUGGGUUUUUUGGGGGUUUUUUUUGGGGGGGGGGUCUUUUUAGGGCUGCACCCUGCAGAAUAUGAAGUUUCCCAGGCUAGGGGUCUAAUCAGAGCUAUAGCUGCUGGCCUACACCACAGCCACAGCAACGUGGGAUCCAAGCCACAUCUGCGACCUACACAACAGCUCAUGGCAAUGCCAGAUCCUUAACCCACUGAGCAAGGCCAGGGAUUGCCCCUGCAACCUCAUGGUUCCUACUCAGAUUCGUUUCCACUGCACCAUGACAGGAACUCUGAAAUAGUUAUUUUUAUUGGAAAAAAAUGUCAUUCAUAUUGACAAGUAAUUGUUUACCACUUUUUUUUUUUUUUGGUCUUUGUCUUUUUAGGGCUGCACUCACGGCAUAAGGAGGCUAUUCGUCUAAUCGGAGUUGUAGCCGCUGGCCUACGCCACAGCCACAGUCACACCAGAUCCAAGCCACAACCUAUACCACAGGUCACGGCAAUGCCGGAUCCUUAAUCCACUAAGCAAGACCAGGGAUUGAACCCAUAACCUCAUGGUUCCCAGUCUGACUCACAUCUGCUGAGCCAUGACGGGAACUCCUACCACUAUUAUUUGUAAAUGAAAUAGUAAAUAAAUAUUUUCAAAGUUAUCUGUUUUAUUUGCUCGUCUAUUGAAUACUGAUACCUAUAACCCAUCCACCUAAAACAAAUGUCUUUAAGGACCUUAAUUUUUAGCAGAGUAGAGAGGGUCCAAGAUCAAGAAGUUUGAGAACUACUGUACUACCCUAUUUGACUCUGGCUGACUGUUCAAUGCCUCACCAGGUCCAAUACUGCCCAUGAAGCUUCCCUAAGCAUCCCUACCCCAUG
rnacentral:lncRNA from 1 species